GGGAGGGGCACAAGAAACGGGCAGAAAGGGCCACCUCACAUCCUGAGCUCAGUCAAAGACGCUGGUGGUCAAAGUCUCCUCCCAGCUUCAGAGAACUGUUUCUUUUGUCUUCAAUAAACUUUGCUUCCUUGCUGGCCAUCCUUUGACCCCGGCUGAAAAAGAUAUGAAGUUAACAAGAGGCCUUAUUGGGAAGGUGCUCCCAGCAGAACUGAGAGGGAAUAAGAGAAGGAAGAGGGCUGAUGAAACAGGGCAUCGUGGUACACGCCUGGAAUUCCAGCCCUCGGUAGCAGGAAGAUCACGAGUCCAAGGUCAUCCUCAACUACGUAGAAAGUAGGAAGCCAACCUUGGAUACCGAAGACCCUGUCUCAAAAACAAAGACAAACAGAAGUGUAGGGAAGGCCUUGCAGUGCCAACUGUGAAUUGCUAGUGAGAAUAAAAAUGUCCUGGGCUCUUUGGAAAACAGUUUUGGAGUUCCAUAAAAUCUUAGACAUAGGUGUGGUGGGUAUGGUGCCAUCUGCACAGCAUAGCCAUAACAGGCAAAUCCAGGGAGAGCAGAUCGGUAGUUAGUGGGGCUGGAGAACUAUAGUGACUGACAACUAAGAUAUGGGGAGAACCAACUGGAACGAAACAUUUGUGACAGCCUCAGAGCCUGCUGAAAAUACUUACGGUGAAUUUCCUAAUGUAUGAAUGAUAUCUAAAUUUAAACGGUUUAAACAUUAAAAGAAAGGGAAAAAACAAGACUGUGUGGGGUGGCCAUCAAAGUUGGAGUCUAUCAACACAGACUAGUUUUGACUUUAAGAUUAAAUACA